UGGGGGGCUCUCAGGAAGCAAAAUGCCAUUAUCAAGAUUGAAGUGGAGCUGAGCAGCUCCUGCAGCCUCCCAGAAGACAUUCAGGGCUUCUGGAAUGAAAAGAGAAGAAAAAACAGCGCAAAUAUGAAGAGAUUUGUUUAUAGGCUCUCCCUGAAGGAGUCAGUAUUUACAGCAAUGUAUGUGUGAGAGAAAGGCAGUAUAAAUGGUAAGCACUUGGUUCAUGAGUGGCUGGAUGUGCAGAGCGGCUGAGCCCUGCAAGCAAAACGAGGAGGCAGCUCUCAGAGCAGCAUUUCCUCGUGCUGCUUGUC